rnacentral:other from 1 species
ACCUUCAUGAAUCAACAUAUUGAUUUAUAAGUACAGAUACAUCCCCUGAGUAGAUAACCAAAUUGCUGUGUGUAGUCUUUGCCCAUCUCCCACGAUGGGCUUUUUUUUGG